rnacentral:rRNA from 1 species
AAUGAACGCUGGCGGCGCGCCUAAUACAUGCAAGUCGAGCGAGAAGACGUAGCAAUACGUUUGUAAAGCGGCGAACGGGUGAGGAAUACAUGGGUAACCUACCCUCGAGUGGGGAAUAACUAGCCGAAAGGUUAGCUAAUACCGCGUACGCUCCUUGGACUUCGGUUCAGGGAGGAAAGCGAUACCGUGGGUAUCGCGCCCUUGGUUGGGCUCAUGUCCUAUCAGCUUGUUGGUGAGGUAACGGCUCACCAAGGCUUCGACGGGUAGCUGGUCUGAGAGGACGAUCAGCCACACUGGCACUGCGACACGGGCCAGACUCCUACGGGAGGCAGCAGUAAGGAAUAUUGCGCAAUGGGCGAAAGCCUGACGCAGCGACGCCGCGUGGGGGAGUGAAGGUCUUCGG